CACAUCAUUUCCUGAAAUAAUGGAGUUGGAAGGCAAUUAUCUACUCACAAAACAGGCUGAAACAACAGUUCCUGAUAUUCUUCUCAAAUACUUUAACUUCCCAAGGAAUCCGGAAAAAAUAAUUCCAUGAGACAGUGUUGUGAAUGAAGGAAGGCUGUGGAGUGAGAUAAAGCAGGAUUGCACCAUGGAGGACAAACAUCUCGGCAUCCAGUACACUUCAAAAUGUUUCUUUUUUUUUGUUUUCAAGACUGGCUGCUAUUUCCUCCAUGCCUCUUGUUUAUUAGCGUGUUGACUCAUCUAGAGCCCAGCGCCUUGUUCCACACCAGAGAGAUGGACUUGUGCCUCUGCCAAGUGGAGUCGGCUCGAGAGAUAACAGCCAGCCACAACAAUGGUCUUCCUCAGUCCCUCGGCCAAAAAGACCUUUGGCACAGUGAGCUGAGAAUGACUCAUCCCCAGUGCCCUGGAAGGCUCCGAAGUUCUGGGAGCACGGAGUGGUUGUUUGCCAGACAGAGAUAACAGGCAGGAUGCCGCAGAGAGCCAGACGUGCUCCGAACUCAGGGCCCCACCUGGCAGACGCAGAAAAGGAAAAAGGGAUGAAGCAGCCAGUUAGCACAUGGUUUCCCGGUUGCCCAGUCCAUGCCGUCAACACCAUCCAACAUUCUGAGGUUUGCCAAAAGGAUCUCGUUUACUCCUGGGUCACGUAAAGAGUACUUAACUUUUCCCCCCACUCCUUGCCGUCGUCUUAAGAGUACUUAACUUUUUUAAAAAGACUAAUGCAAUCAACUCAUCUUGAAGAGUUUGCUCACUUUCCAUUGCCCUUGGAAAAAAAAAAUGCAUGAUUAUCUGACAGGAUGAGGGUUUGAUUGUCACAUAAGUCAUUCUCUCGAUGGUUGACACAUCCUUGACUCUCAAAGGAUGGCGUUGAUAACCUAGAGAGGCAACUGAGAAUAGCCUAGGACUGGACCUGCUUGUUCUGAGCUGCCUAAAGAGCCUCUGAAACUAGUGUUAACUGUUCCACUCACUAACCUUGCCUUUAUGAGGUAGGAGGUGGGACUCAACUCUGGAGACGGGGCUCAGACACUGGACCAAAUUAAGGACUAGCUACAACAGGACCAGGGUGGAAGCAGCUUUCCAUAAGGCGUGCCCACCAGUGUGCCAUGUCAGUUUACCAUUGCCAUGUCAACACCCGGGCGUUAUCGCUCCUUUCCAUGGCAAUGAUCCGAUGACCCAAAAGUUACUAACCCUUUCCUAGAAAUUUCUGCAUAAACCAUCCCUUAGUCUGUAUAUAAUUAAAAGUGGGUAUAAAUACGACUGCAAAGCUGCCCUGAGCUGCUCCUCUCUGCUUAUGGGGUUGCCCAGAUCUGCAGGAGCAGUCAUGGAGGUAUAACACUGCUGCUUCAGUUAAGCUGUUUUUGUCUACCUCCAGCAUGCCCUUGAAUUCUUUCCUGGGCAAAGCCAAGAACCCUCGUGGGCUAAGUCCCACUUUGGGGCUCACCUGCCCUGCACCAUUUAGAUGUAGAGAUGGCUACACUGCUUUGCAGGCUUCUUUAGCCCAAGUCAUUAGAUGCACAGGUAGCCAUCACCUUUGAAAGAUUCUGUUGUAAACUUGUGAUAAAAAUGCCUUUCAUGGUCUCAUAGACAUUUUUUAUAAUAACUAAAAUAGUGAUUGUUUUCAUUACAAGCUCAGUAUUGUACUAUAAAUCACUUAACUGCUGAAGUACAAUGUAAGUCCUGAAUGGCAAUGUCAGUGUUAUUAACCAUUAUUAACUCAAGGACAGUGGGGAGUAAGGAAGAUGAGUUCUGUUUCAUCAUUUUCCAAAGUCACAGAGCUUGUUCUUCAACAGUGACUCAAAGCAAAUGCCAUAGCCUGCUUUGUUAUAAGAAUUUUGAUACAUAGUUAAUAUUUACAUAAUGACUUACAAUUCAACAUGAAAGCUCCCAUGUCAGUACUAAGUAACUUAAUUACACCAUUUAUAAAUACAGUACUGUCGGCCCUCCCUACCCUUAGGCUUCCCACCUGCAGAUUCAACCAACUGUGGAUCAAAAAUAUUCAGAAAAGGCCAGGCGCAGUGGCUCAUGCCUGUAAUCCCAGCACUUUGGGAGGCCGAGGUGAGCGAAUCACGAGGUCAGGAGUUCAAGACCAACCUGGCCUACACGGUGAAACCUUGUCUCUACUAAAAAUACAAAAAUUAGCCUGGCAUGGUGAUGCGUGCCUGUAAUCCCAGCUACUUGGGAGGCUGAGGCAGGAGAAUUUCUUGAACCUGGGAGGUGGAGGUUGCAGUAAGCUGAGAUUGCGCCAUUGCAUUCCAGCCUGGGCGACAGAGCAAGACUCUGUCUGGAGAAGAAAAAAAAUUUCAGAAAAAAACAAUUAAAAAUAACAAUACAACAACAAAUAAUAACACAUAUAAGAAUCAAUGCAGCAUAACAACUAUUUGCGUAGCAUUUAGAUUGUAUUAAGUAUUAAAAGUAAUCUAGAGAUUUUUAAUGGAUAUCAGGAGGAUGUGCAUAGAUUUUAUGCAAAUAUGGUGCCAUUUUCUCUAAGGGAUUUGAACAUCCACAGAUUUUGGUAUCCACUGGAGGUCCUGGAACCAAUCCCCCACCGACACCAAGGGACGGCUAUAUAUUUUUUCCCUUGACCUAACACCUACUCACUUUUGGACAGCAUUAUAAAAUAAUCAGCAUCAUCUCCAGAAGUAUUUAUCAGGCAUCUAUCAUGGUAUUGUAUUAAUUAGGUCAUCUACUGAAAGGCAGAAUGUUCUUCACUUCAGAUUUUACAACACCCUUUUUUCAUAAUACGUGGAUAGGUUUGUUUUUAAAUGUUGGUGACUUAAACCUCCUGAAGAGAGGGACCUCAUCAGAGUGGAAGUCUUACUUCGAUCAAAGCCCGAUCAUACAACCUAUUUUCAGCAUGUUUCUAGCAAGUUAAGGCGAAGCUUAGCUAGAUUGCUUAGGCUUGGGUAAGGACCGCACACUUUGCUUGUAGCGUUCUUAGUCUCUUGGUCUAAGCAAGGCUGUGAUUCACCAUCUGAACUCAAUAGCGCCGUUUCUUGCACUGGGUGGUUUGCUAAAUUCACAUAGAUAACCCAAAGAAAGUUCAAGAUCAGAAAGAGAGAAGAUUGACUUACUUGUUAUGAGGGAAUUUUCAUUCACAGAGCCAUAAAAAUAUAAUCAUGAAUUUUGUGGAUACUGCGUCCUUUGGGCCAGCCAUCUAGGGUACAGAUGGGACGUGAUGCCAUUGUCUAGAAGCCCUAGGGUUGCAGGUGGCUGCUGGCAAAGCGACCCACCAUCCAUCCCUUGCUGCAUCGGGAUCAGGGGCCGUUCCAUGAGCUGCUGCCCUGAGAGGCCUCGGUGUUUCUGUUCUUUGCCACCCGCUUCUGUAUGUGAAUCACUCUGAGUAUUUACAUCCUUUGACAUUAUUCCUGUUUCCCCGUAUUUUCAUGUCCAUUAAGCUGAUACUGUAUAGGCUUGAUGACGGUGUCUUUUUCUCAGUGAUUUUCUCCACACAGUAAAAUGGUGCCCAAUGGGAGAAUAAAGUCUCCUUGCUCCAUAGAAGGCCUGCACUUUACAUGUAUAUAUGAGAAAAAGCUGGUUUCUGUUAGUCUAUAAUGUAUUAAGAUGUGGUUAGUGAAAAACUGCCUUCCAAAAUUCAGUUAAUAUAGAAAAUUAAGUAUUUUUAAAAAUUUUUCAGACUGCUUAUUGUAGAAUGAAAUUGGCCCUUGUCUUAUCUCAGCCACUUUACCCCCAAUCUGGACAUUUUAUUAUAAAUACAGUUCUGCUUUCAGACCAUCAUAUUUUUGGAAAAGAAAAUUGUGUAAGGUAAAAGUGAUUACAUUCAACACAUUUA
rnacentral:lncRNA from 1 species